GACAGAAGGGAGCUUGCUCCCGGAUGUUAGCGGCGGACGGGUGAGUAACACGUGGGUAACCUGCCUGUAAGACUGGGAUAACUCCGGGAAACCGGAGCUAAUACCGGAUAGUUCCUUGAACCGCAUGGUUCAAGGAUGAAAGACGGUUUCGGCUGUCACUUACAGAUGGACCCGCGGCGCAUUAGCUAGUUGGUGAGGUAACGGCUCACCAAGGCGACGAUGCGUAGCCGACCUGAGAGGGUGAUCGGCCACACUGGGACUGAGACACGGCCCAGACUCCUACGGGAGGCAGCAGUAGGGAAUCUUCCGCAAUGGACGAAAGUCUGACGGAGCAACGCCGCGUGAGUGAUGAAGGUUUUCGGAUCGUAAAGCUCUGUUGUUAGGGAAGAACAAGUGCAAGAGUAACUGCUUGCACCUUGACGGUACCUAACCAGAAAGCCACGGCUAACUACGUGCCAGCAGCCGCGGUAAUACGUAGGUGGCAAGCGUUGUCCGGAAUUAUUGGGCGUAAAGGGCUCGCAGGCGGUUUCUUAAGUCUGAUGUGAAAGCCCCCGGCUCAACCGGGGAGGGUCAUUGGAAACUGGGAAACUUGAGUGCAGAAGAGGAGAGUGGAAUUCCACGUGUAGCGGUGAAAUGCGUAGAGAUGUGGAGGAACACCAGUGGCGAAGGCGACUCUCUGGUCUGUAACUGACGCUGAGGAGCGAAAGCGUGGGGAGCGAACAGGAUUAGAUACCCUGGUAGUCCACGCCGUAAACGAUGAGUGCUAAGUGUUAGGGGGUUCCGCCCCUUAGUGCUGCAGCUAAC
rnacentral:rRNA from 1 species